CAAAAACAUGUCCUUUUGAUUAUUAUUUAAGGUCUGGCCUGCCCAAUGAUUUUUAAAUGGCCGCAGUAUUUUGACUGUGCAAAGGUAGCAUAAUCAUUAGUUUCUUUAUUGGAAGCUGGAAUGAAAGGUUGGAUGAGAAAUUAACUGUCUCUAGUUUAAUUUAAUUGAAUUUUAUUUUUUAGUAAAAAAGCUAAAAUUAGUUAGGGGGACGAGAAGACCCUAUAGAGUUUUAUAUUAAAGCUGAACUAUGAUUUAGGUUUAUUUUUGUAUUGGUUUUUUUAUUUUAUUGGGGUGAUAUAAAAAUUUAGUUAACUUUUUAUUAUUAUAACACUAAUUAGUGAUUUUUUGAUCCUUAUUAUGGAUUACAAGAUUAAGUUACCUUAGGGAUAACAGCGUAAUUUCUUUGGAAAGUUCUUAUUGAUAAAGAAGUUUGCGACCUCGAUGUUGGAUUAAAGUUUAUUUUUGGUGUAGAAGCUGAAUAAUUAGGUCUGUUCGACCUUUAAAAUUUUACAUGAUCU
rnacentral:rRNA from 1 species